AUUGAACGCUGGCGGCAGGCCUAACACAUGCAAGUCGAACGGUAGCACAGAGAGCUUGCUCUCGGGUGACGAGUGGCGGACGGGUGAGUAACGUCUGGGAAACUGCCCGAUGGAGGGGGGUAACUACUGGAAACGGUAGCUAAUACCGCAUAACGUCGCAAGACCAAAGUGGGGGACCUUCGGGCCUCACACCAUCGGAUGUGCCCAGAUGGAUUAGCUAGUAGGUGGGGUAAUGGCUCACCUAGGCGACGAUCCCUAGCUGGUCUGAGAGGAUGACCAGCCACACUGGAACUGCGACACGGUCCAGACUCCUACGGGAGGCAGCAGUGGGGAAUAUUGCACAAUGGGCGCAAGCCUGAUGCAGCCAUGCCGCGUGUAUGAAGAAGGCCUUCGGGUUGUAAAGUACUUUCAGCGGGGAGGAAGGCGGUGAAGUUAAUAACUUCACCGAUUGACGUUACCCGCAGAAGAAGCACCGGCUAACUCCGUGCCAGCAGCCGCGGUAA
rnacentral:rRNA from 1 species